rnacentral:rRNA from 1 species
AUGAACGCUGGCGGCGUGCCUAAUACCUGCAAGUCGAGCGAACAGAUGAGGAGCUUGCUCCUCUGACGUUAGCGGCGGACGGGUGAGUAACACGUGGAUAACCUACCUAUAAGCCUGGGAUAACUUCGGGAAACCGGAGCUAAUACCGGAUAAUAUAUUGAACCGCAUGGUUCAAUAGUGAAAGACGGUUUUGCUGUCACUUAUAGAUGGAUCCGCGCCGCAUUAGCUAGUUGGUAAGGUAACGGCUUACCAAGGCGACGAUGCGUAGCCGACCUGAGAGGGUGAUCGGCCACACUGGAACUGAGACACGGUCCAGACUCCUACGGGAGGCAGCAGUAGGGAAUCUUCCGCAAUGGGCGAAAGCCUGACGGAGCAACGCCGCGUGAGUGAUGAAGGUCUUCGGAUCGUAAAACUCUGUUAUUAGGGAAGAACAAAUGUGUAAGUAACUAUGCACGUCUUGACGGUACCUAAUCAGAAAGCCACGGCUAACUACGUG